UGUGUGUAUGUGCGUACGUGUGAGGGAGAGAUGGAGAGAGAUAGAGAGAAAGAGAGAAGGAGAGAGAAUGAGAAUAAGAGCGUCAGUCUUUGUUCUCUCCUAGCAAGAGAGCUUAACUUUCUGUUGCAAAGAGAUAAGAGAUACCGGAAAAGAAAGAAAGAAAUAGAGAUAGAGGUAGAGAUAGAGGUAGAGAUAGAGAUAGAGAUAGAGAUAGAGAGAGAGGAGGGGGGGAGAGAGAGAGAGAGAGAGAGGAUUGUUAUUAAAGUCGGCAAUUCCCCAGAGUCAGACGGAAAGCCGACUCGUAGUUUCAACUCGACGUCGAGUUUAGAAUUUUCGAUCGAGAAAAUGCAAAUUUCGAUAUAUUAUCACGGAAGAAAUAUAGUAUCGAUGAAUUAUCCAUUGAAUCAUCGUCUAUCGAUCGAGGAGGAUCUAUAAAUUCGUCGUGUAAUUAUCAAUGAUAAUGACAGAUAAAUGAAGUGCGUGAAAUGUCGUGUAUUUUGCCCUAGGUCAAGGUUCCUUAUUUUUAUCGAAGGAGAGAGAAAGAGACAGAGAGAGAGAGAGAGAGAGAGAGAGAGAGGAAGAGAGAGAGAGUCCAGUAACCCUGAGAACCAUUCUAACCGAUAAAGCAACCUCGACGAGCGGUACCUUGGUGGAUUCGACGUGGAUACACAUCGUGAAGGUUAGGCUGGGUCAACCGAAACGCCAGACACGACGACGAUACGGAAUGGACGCACGCGAGAAGCCGCAGCCUACGGAAGAAAAUCUCUUUCUCUUUCUCUCUCUCUAUCUUUCUCUCUCUUUUUAUCUAUCUCUCUAUCUAUCUAUCUAUCUAUCUAUGUAUAUGUAUAUCUAUCUAUCUUUCUCGUUCACUUUCGUGUGUUUAUUAGUUAAGUCGAGAGAGAGGUUUAUUAGGUAGAGAGAGAGAGAGAGAGAGAGAGAGAGAGAAAGAGAGAGUAUAACGAGGGAGGAGCUUUUAUAUAUACAUACAUAUACACAUAUAUAUAUAUGUGUGUGUGUGUAUAGGUAUGUACUAUAUACUAAUCCUUCAGCUUCCAUCGGUCGACCUCCAAAGGUCUCGUCGGCGUCAUGAACCUACCAUUUUAAUCGUAUUUAAAUCUUUCUGUCCUCUUCUAAUUGGCCACUCAAAAGUAAUGACUGAGAGAGACAUAUAUAUAUAUAUAUAUAUAGAAGUUGGCUGAAUUGUAAAACUACAAGCAAGGUUUGUUAAAUUGUUAAAAGCUGAAAAGAAUAAAAACGAAAUAAAAAAAAAAAUAUAUAUAUAUACCAAACAAAAAAAAAUUGUACGAAACGCAAAUCCCCAAUAUGACGAAUCAAACGAAUGAGAAAAUAUUUCUCAUUCGUUUUUCCCUUUUCUACUCUUUUUGUUCUUUUUUUUUUUUCUUUUUUUUUUUUCCCCCCGUUUAAUGUCGUAUCCCGUGGACGUAGCUUUGAUCGUUUUUACGACGCCGGAAUGAAAUUAAUAUGAUAUGAAUGACGUGCGCUCUUUGGUAAUGUUUAUUUUGCGGAUAGACAGACAGAGAAAGAGAAAGAGAAAAAGAGAGAGAGAGUGAGAGAGACAGAUAGAAAGAGUUAUAAUCAUCAGCAUCUUCUUAAUA